CGGCAUUUUAAAGUAGGCUGUGAAUGUGUGUGUGUGUGUGUUUGUGUGUGUGGUGUGGGGGGGUGGGCUGGGCUGGGGGCCGACUUACAGAACCGUGUAGGCUGGAAACCUUCCCUGCUCACACACGCUUACCAUGCAGCCAUGGGGGUGGAGAGAUGCUAUGUAGUUAAACCCAAGGCAGCCUGUGGAUACAACACUUCCAGCGUGACACUCUCAGAGAACGGCAAAAGCUCAGCCUCAAACACACACACACACACACACACACACACACACACACACACACACACACACAUAACAGUAGAUCUCAACAGGAUACUGCAGUUAGUCACAGGCACAUGAAAACUGGAGGAAAUGGAGUGACAAGAAAAAAGGAAGACACAAAUCACGCCGUGUCAUGUGUGCAGAGAAACAGAUUGUUCGCUAUCAGCGGUGAUGGUGCGCGGAGGAAGAAUGCGAGCAUGCAGCGAAGUCAAACAAAAGUGCCUCAGAUGAAUAUUCCUGAAACAGAACAGGAUGGACUUGCUAAAACCAAAUCACGCACUCAUCCUGCACCGGGUUAUUCAGACAGGCUCAAUCUUUUCAGAUCGUGUGAUGCUCCAUGUCUUCAUUCCAAUUUAGGCGCUGGGGACGGCUCAAGUGGACGAGCGCUGCCAGCAGCUUGUUAGGGUGCUCAUAAGGUGCUCAGUAGUCAGUGUAGAUCCUGUGUUGUAAUCAGCAGCUACAUCUGGCUACUGGGUCUCUGAUGGCAUUUUCUGCUUCCUGUUGGCACAUUCCUUUCAGAUUGUGUGGUAUGUUAUCACAAUGUGUGCCUCAUCCUGUCAGAAUAGGACUCGCUCUUUCAUGGACGUUAAAGAGGGCUCGUCACAACAGCCUGUCUCUUCGACCAGAGCGAUUUGGUGGUGCUUUUACACAUUUUUAGCCUAGUUUAAUGUGGGUUUUUCUUCUUUUUUGUAUUCAAAAAAUUUGAUCAAGGUGAGUGAAGUGUCAAAGUGCAGCUAAAAGUCUCGGGAACCCAUUUCAGACUGCUUUGAAAGAAAGGAUUGAGACAUUGUUUCUUUUUUGACUUCUGAAGAUUCAGUUUAAGUGAUUAGGUAACAAAGGACAAGGCGACAUGUCACAUUCUCUUUGUGAUUUGCCUGUCACAAGGGGCUGUCUUUGUGCAAAUGUUUUUGAGUUGUUGAAGGCUGACAAAUAAUGAGAGUUAAACGCGCAGACAUGCUGAAUCGCAUUGGUUUUGGAGAGCG
ensembl:lncRNA